rnacentral:ncRNA from 1 species
CGGCGGUAGAGCAAAAAGGGCAAAAGACCUCAUUUUAUUUUGAUUUUUCAGUACGAAUACAGACCGUAAAGCGCGCCUAUCGAUCCCCUGUUGAUUAAUCAAGAGUUUGAUGCAAACAACGGGUGUCAGAAAAGUUACCACAAGCCGAUAAACUGGCUUGCUGGCGCGCCAACGCGCUCAUAGCGACGUCCCUUUGAUCCUUCCGAUGUCGCUUUUCCUAUCAUUUGAAGCCAGAAUUCACCAAGCGUGGAUUGUUCACCCACCAAUACGGACGUGCAGGCUGGGUUUAGACGUUCUGAGACAGUUAGUUACCCUACUUAUGGUCUUGUCGUUGCUAUGGGUAAUCCUGCUUAGUACGAGAGAACGAACCGCAGGUUCAGACAUUUGGUUUAUGUGCUUUGGUCGAAAGACAAUGGUGCGAAGCUACCAUCUGAGGGAUUAAGACUGAAAGCCUCUUAAGUCUGAAUCCCGCCCAGAAAUGCAACGAUACUAUCGUGUGCCCCUACGCCGGGAGGCAACGAUAUACUCGGCCCGAAAUCGAUUUCGGCGGCCGAGACUGCUAAAGCCACUGCGCUGAUACUGCCACACCCGCUGUCUUGAAAUUUGGCAGUGGAGGCACAGACACGAUACCACUUGAUUGAGACGUAGGGGUUCUAUAUCGUUUGUAGACGACUUAGAUCUCGGUCGGGUGCCGUACUUAGUUGAGCAGUUCUUUCACUGCGAUCUAUUGAGGCUAAGCCUUUUGACGGGAGAUAUGU